rnacentral:tRNA from 1 species
AUAUCUAUAGUAUAUCAAUACAUUAGCUUUUCAAGCUAAAAAUAUAGUUCACUAUUAGAUAU